GACGAACGCUGGCGGCGCGCUUGACACAUGCAAGUCGAGCGAGAACCAGGACUUCGGUCCUGGGGACAGCGGCGAACGGGUGAGUAACACGUGGAUAACCUGCCCUCGGCACCGGGAUAGCCCGGGGAAACCCGGAUUAAUACCGGAUGGCCCUUCCGGCUCACGAGCCGGUCGGAAAAGGUAGCUUCGGCCUCCGGCCGAGGAUGGGUCCGCGGCGGAUUAGCUUGUUGGUGGGGUAACGGCCUACCAAGGCUCCGAUCCGUAGCUGGUCUGAGAGGACGAUCCGCCACACUGGGACUGAGACACGGCCCAGACUCCUACGGGAGGCCGCAGUGGGGAAUCUUGCGCAAUGGGCGAAAGCCUGACGCAGCGACGCCGCGUGAGGGAGGAAGGCCUUCGGGUUGUAAACCUCUUUCAGGAGGGACGAAGCUACUCGGGUGAAUAGCCCAGAGGGUGACGGUACCUCCAGAAGAAGCCCCGGCUAACUACGUGCCAGCCGCCGCGGUAAUAC
rnacentral:rRNA from 1 species